rnacentral:lncRNA from 1 species
UUAUUUAUAACAAAUAAUAGAUUAUAAUUUAUUUUUUUCAUUGUCAUUCCAGGCAGACAUAAAAAGUUUGAAGUAUGCACAAAGCCUGAAAGUGUCAAAUAUGGAACCUAAAAAAACCUGCCUUUGCCACUAACUGUAUAAAGGUUUUUUAAGGUCUGUUUGUCAAGCGUCAAAUCAGGUUAUCUUGCUACUGGUACCAUGUAGUACAUCCUGCUUAAGCAGGUUGUACGCCAUCCAUACGACGUUUGGGCAUCUGUUUGUAAAAUAUUGCUGCAAAUCUUUUUGAGAGAGCCACUACUAUGGAGAACCAUCUGAACCAUACGAGUGUGGAAACAUGGAUAACAUACCUGGCCCACAUUUGAUCCUGAAAAACAUUCUUUUUGGACCAAAUGCUGGCUGGAUUAAUGUGAAAUAAACUGAUGAGUUUAUUUAGCU